CCCCUUCCAAUCGGUAAAAACCACGCCUAUAUACGUCCUGUCGGCGCAAGCCGACUAUGGUGAUAAACGGACGGUGUAAUAAACCCAUUGGACCCGGGGGCGGUACCCGGCGCCUCCACCACAGCACAGCUUGCCGAUCAGGCUGUGUUGUGGCGGGGGGCGAAACAGGAUCGACAAGGGUGUAAAGAUCGCUCUUUUACUCGGCAUGAUACCACCGUUAUCGGGUCAACAGAGUAGUUGCAAAUGACAACAAUGCUCAGGGUUAUGCUCUCGCUGCCUAAUGGCGGUGCGGGAAACCCACUCUAAAGUCCUUAGGGUUAGCCCCUUAAGGCGGGGUUCGGAGGCACCUGGCAACAGAAGCCUCCACU
rnacentral:tmRNA from 1 species